GUAGGGAAUUUUCGUCAAUGGGCGCAAGCCUGAACGAGCAAUGCCGCGUGAACGAGGAAGGUCUUCGGAUCGUAAAGUUCUGUUGAGAGGGAAAAAGGGUCACCAGAGGAAAUGCUGGUGAAGUGAUAUUACCUUUCGAGGAAGUCACGGCUAACUACGUGCCAGCAGCCGCGGUAAUACGUAGGUGGCGAGCGUUAUCCGGAAUGAUUGGGCGUAAAGGGUGCGUAGGCGGCCUGUUAAGUCUGAAGUGAAAGGUACCGGCUCAACCGGUACAGGCUUUGGAAACUGGCAGGCUGGAGGACAGGAGAGGGCGGUGGAACUCCAUGUGUAGCGGUAAAAUGCGUAGAUAUAUGGAAGAACACCAGUGGCGAAGGCGGCCGCCUGGCCUGUUACUGACGCUGAGGCACGAAAGCGUGGGGAGCAAAUAGG
rnacentral:rRNA from 1 species